rnacentral:tRNA from 1 species
UGGCUGGGGUGGGAGGAUUCGAACCUCCGCAUGGCGGAAUCAAAAUCCGCUGCCUUACCGCUUGGCUACACCCCA